rnacentral:rRNA from 1 species
UUAAAAAGCUCGUAGUUGAACCUUGGGCCUGGCUGGCCGGUCCGCCUCACCGCGUGCACUGGUUCGGCCGGGCCUUUCCCUCUGGGGAACCUCAUGCCCUUCACUGGGUGUGAUGGGGAACCAGGACUUUUACUGUGAAAAAAUUAGAGUGUUCAAAGCAGGCCUAUGCUCGAAUACAUUAGCAUGGAAUAAUAGAAUAGGACGUGUGGUUCUAUUUUGUUGGUUUCUAGGACCGCCGUAAUGAUUAAUAGGGUCAGUCGGGGG